AUACUUACUUGGCGCAGGGGCAACCGCGAUCAAGAAGGCGGUUCCCCCAGGUCGAGGGCAAUCCAUUGCACUACGGGACAGCUUGACACCUGCGAUUAUCCCUAAUGAGGAUAAAUCGGGCGUUAAAUUUUUGGUAGUCGGGAUUUGCGUACGCGCGAUCCCGGU